rnacentral:rRNA from 1 species
UACGUAGGGGGCAAGCGUUGUCCGGAAUCAUUGGGCGUAAAGGGCGCGUAGGCGGAUAAUUAAGUCUGAUGUGAAACCCUAGGGCUCAACCCUAGGCUUGCAUCGGAAACUGGUUAUCUUGAGGGCAGGAGAGGAAAGUGGAAUUCCACGUGUAGCGGUGAAAUGCGUAGAUAUGUGGAGGAACACCAGUGGCGAAGGCGACUUUCUGGACUGUCACUGACGCUGAGGCGCGAAAGCGUGGGUAGCGAACAGG